GCACCUGAAUCUUUCCUAUUCCUUGCUGUGCAGUGCAGGUUUUGGGGACAGUUGGUGCUACAGCAAUGCAGUGGAAAUCCAGACGGGUUUCUUUUCUUUCACCUGGAACUCAUCUCUACAGCUCUGCAACAUUU
ensembl:snoRNA